CCUACGGGGGGCAGCAGUGGGGAAUAUUGGACAAUGGGGGCAACCCUGAUCCAGCCAUGCCGCGUGUGUGAAGAAGGCCCUCGGGUUGUAAAGCACUUUCAGUGAGGAAGAACGCCUGGUGGUUAAUACCCAUCAGGAAAGACAUCACUCACAGAAGAAGCACCGGCUAACUCCGUGCCAGCAGCCGCGGUAAUACGGAGGGUGCGAGCGUUAAUCGGAAUUACUGGGCGUAAAGCGCGCGUAGGUGGCUUGAUAAGCCGGUUGUGAAAGCCCCGGGCUCAACCUGGGAACGGCAUCCGGAACUGUCAAGCUAGAGUGCAGGAGAGGAAGGUAGAAUUCCCGGUGUAGCGGUGAAAUGCGUAGAGAUCGGGAGGAAUACCAGUGGCGAAGGCGGCCUUCUGGACUGACACUGACACUGAGGUGCGAAAGCGUGGGUAGCAAACAGGGUUAGAUACCCGAGUAGUC
rnacentral:rRNA from 1 species